rnacentral:rRNA from 1 species
CCUACGGGGGGCAGCAGUGGGGAAUAUUGGGCAAUGGAGGCAACUCUGACCCAGCAACGCCGCGUGAGCGAUGAAGGUCUUCGGAUUGUAAAGCUCUGUCGCAGGGGACGAAGUAUGACGGUACCCUGUAAGAAAGCCCCGGCAAACUACGUGCCAGCAGCCGCGGUAAUACGUAGGGGGCUAGCGUUGUCCGGAAUUACUGGGCGUAAAGGGAGUGUAGACGGCUUGUCAAGUUAAGUGUGAAAGCCUGCGGCUUAACCGCAGAAUUGCACUUAAAACUGACUCGCUAGAGUGCAGGAGAGGUGAGUGGAAUUCCUAGUGUAGCGGUGGAAUGCGUAGAUAUUAGGAGGAACACCAGAGGCGAAGGCGGCUCACUGGACUGUAACUGACGUUGAGGCUC